rnacentral:lncRNA from 1 species
AUGGUGAAAGAGAAGUAGAAAAAGAUUACAAGGAAAAUCACAAUCCGUGAAAACUUAAAAAAAAAAACUAUAUUAAUUUGUUUUGCUUUCUAUCUCUUGUGUCGUUCUCUUUCCUUUCUCCUCUCUCCCAUCAGCCUUCUUCACCCAUCCAAACAUAUCUUAAGCACACGUUUUCUUACUGGGAGUCCGAAUGAAUGGAUAUUUUCUAUUGCUUAUCCCACUCACUCUCUUUCUUACAUUGACUUGUUAGCUAUUUUGUUUGCAACUUACACUUUAAACUACUCAGCCAAUAGGAAGAAUGGAACAAAAAAGGAAUCCAACUCGAUUACAGGGCACUAUAGCUCGCGAAAAUUAGAAACUAAAAAUUAAAUGAUACCCAAACAAGCCGAAGUUUCAAGAGUCUUCUUUGUUGUUCCCCUUAAUGACAAAAGGGAGUCUUCUUUGUUGUUCCCUUAAUCACAGAAGUCGUCUGUAUGUAUCUACAUGCGGAUCUGCCAGUGCAUGUGAGUAAGAAGGACACGAUCGAGGAUUUGAGUAUACAUGCCAGAUAAUUUUUCCAGUUAAUUACUCAU